rnacentral:rRNA from 1 species
UAGGGAAUAUUGCAAAAUGGGCGAAAGCCCGAUGCAGCAACGCCGCGUGGGCGAUGAAGGCCUUCGGGUCGUAAAGCCCUUUUUGAGGGGAUGAGGAAGGACAGUACCCUCAGAAUAAGCCUCGGCUAACUACGUGCCAGCAGCCGCGGUAAAACGUAGGAGGCGAGCGUUAUCCGGAUUUACUGGGCGUAAAGCGCGUGCAGGCGGAUUGGAGAGUUGGAUGUGAAAGCUCCCGGCUUAACUGGGAGAGGUCGUUCAAUACUUCCAGUCUUGAGUGCAGUAGAGGGAAGUGGAAUUCCGGGUGUAGUGGUGAAAUGCGUAUAUAUCCGGAGGAACACCAGUGGCGAAAGCGGCUUCCUGGACUGUAACUGACGCUCAGACGCGAAAGCUAGGGUAGCAAACG